rnacentral:rRNA from 1 species
CGGACCGACGGGAGCUUGCUCCCUUAGGUCAGCGGCGGACGGGUGAGUAACACGUGGGUAACCUGCCUGUAAGACUGGGAUAACUCCGGGAAACCGGGGCUAAUACCGGAUGCUUGAUUGAACCGCAUGGUUCAAUUAUAAAAGGUGGCUUUUAGCUACCACUUACAGAUGGACCCGCGGCGCAUUAGCUAGUUGGUGAGGUAACGGCUCACCAAGGCAACGAUGCGUAGCCGACCUGAGAGGGUGAUCGGCCACACUGGGACUGAGACACGGCCCAGACUCCUACGGGAGGCAGCAGUAGGGAAUCUUCCGCAAUGGACGAAAGUCUGACGGAGCAACGCCGCGUGAGUGAUGAAGGUUUUCGGAUCGUAAAACUCUGUUGUUAGGGAAGAACAAGUACCGUUCGAAUAGGGCGGUACCUUGACGGUACCUAACCAGAAAGCCACGGCUAACUACGUGCCAGCAGCCGCGGUAAUACGUAGGUGGCAAGCGUUGUCCGGAAUUAUUGGGCGUAAAGCGCGCGCAGGCGGUUUCUUAAGUCUGAUGUGAAAGCCCCCGGCUCAACCGGGGAGGGUCAUUGGAAACUGGGGAACUUGAGUGCAGAAGAGGAGAGUGGAAUUCCACGUGUAGCGGUGAAAUGCGUAGAGAUGUGGAGGAACACCAGUGGCGAAGGCGACUCUCUGGUCUGUAACUGACGCUGAGGCGCGAAAGCGUGGGGAGCGAACAGGAUUAGAUACCCUGGUAGUCCACGCCGUAAACGAUGAGUGCUAAGUGUUAGAGGGUUUCCGCCCUUUAGUGCUGCAGCAAACGCAUUAAGCACUCCGCCUGGGGGAGUACG